AAGCCGGAUUAAUACCGCAUACGCUCUACGGAGGAAAGGGGGGGAUCUUAGGACCUCCCGCUACAGGGGCGGCCGAUGGCAGAUUAGCUAGUUGGUGGGGUAAAGGCCUACCAAGGCGACGAUCUGUAGCUGGUCUGAGAGGACGACCAGCCACACUGGGACUGAGACACGGCCCAGACUCCUACGGGAGGCAGCAGUGGGGAAUUUUGGACAAUGGGGGAAACCCUGAUCCAGCAAUGCCGCGUGUGUGAAGAAGGCCUUCGGGUUGUAAAGCACUUUUGUCCGGAAAGAAAUCCUCUUCGCUAAUACCGAGGGGGGAUGACGGUACCGGAAGAAUAAGCACCGGCUAACUACGUGCCAGCAGCCGCGGUAAUACGUAGGGUGCAAGCGUUAAUCGGAAUUACUGGGCGUAAAGCGUGCGCAGGCGGUUCGCUAAGACAGAUGUGAAAUCCCCGGGCUUAACCUGGGAACUGCAUUUGUGACUGGCGGGCUAGAGUAUGGCAGAGGGGGGUAGAAUUCCACGUGUAGCAGUGAAAUGCGUAGAGAUGUGGAGGAAUACCGAUGGCGAAGGCAGCCCCCUGGGCCAAUACUGACGCUC
rnacentral:rRNA from 1 species